rnacentral:lncRNA from 1 species
GAUCCCUGGCUUUGAUUACGGCCCAGACGGGUUUGGCACGGGCCUCACGCCGCUGCAUCUUUCUGACGACGGAGAGGGUGGGACUUUCCAUUUCCACGACCCUCCACCUCCCUACACGGCAUACAAGUACCCGGACAUCGGCCAGCCCGACGACCCUCCGCCGCCCUACGAGGCCUCCAUCCACCCGGACAGUGUGUUCUAUGACCCUGCAACGAUGAUGCUUUUGAGCCUGUGGAGGUCAGCCUGCCAGCCCCUGGGGAUGGUGGGAGUGAAGGUGCAUUACUC